ensembl:lncRNA
UGUGCUUGGAAUUUCUGAAACAUUUUGUGAUUUAGCGAAGAUAAAACACACAUACUCUGUUUUCCUUCACAAUUUCUGGCUUUUAAUAUUCUGAGCUUCUUCCAUGCUCUGCUAGACCAUUUCUUGAAUCACAGUGAAGAGUCGAAGAAUUUCAUCACUUUCAAGCAGAUGUCUACCUUGGAUUCAGCCAAUGGGAUUCAGUAAAGAGAGAUUUAGAAGUCAGAAGAAAAACAAGACUUCCAGUACAGCUGCAGCAAGAUGCACAGGCAUUUGGCAGACAUGACGUUGGCAGCAGCAUCCAAAUUGGCAUGUUUAUAUAUUUUAUCUGGGAUGGAAAUACUUUAGAGAAGAAGAAAUUCUUGAAAGCACUGAAGAACUAAGGGAAGCAAUAGAGUAAUGUUUCUUAUAAGAUAAACACCAAAAACAGACAUUUUGACUGCUGACAGAUCUUCAGAGGGAAGACAAUGAAAGUGUAUGGAGGGAAGAUACAGAAGCUGGACUGAAUGUGAAGGAAGCUGAGAACCCUGCAUGAGGCUCCCACAGACAGGGACUUGUUUCUGGCCCCCAACAACUCCAGGGAAAAAGAUAAGUUGAACUGGAAAGGAGCAACUGCUUUCCUCAUGGGCCUGUGGAAUCCCAGCAGAAAGACAUCCCU